GAUCAAGCUACUAAGAGCUUAUGGUGAAUGCCUUGGUGCCAAGAGGCGAUGAAGGACGUAGUAAGUUGCGAUAAGCCACGGGGAGCCGCAAACAGGCUUUGAUCCGUGGAUCUCCGAAUGGGACAACCCAGUCAGCUUUACCGCUGAUUAUCGUCCGGAUGAAUUCAUAGUCCGGCGAAGCAAAACGGGGUGAAGUGAAACAUCUCAGUAACCCCAGGAAAAGAAAACGAAAUGAUUCCGUGAGUAGUGGCGAGCGAAAGCGGAGAAGGCUAAACCGGGAGGACUUGUCCUUCCGGGGUUGUGGGACCUUAAUAUGAUAGGUGGAUAGCGAGCUUAAUCAUCUGGAAAGAUGAGCCAUAGACCGUGACAGCCGGGUGAGCGAAGUUUGAAGCCGUCUAGAGGUAUCCCAAGUAACACGGUGCACGUGAAACUCUGUGUGAAUCUGUGCGGACCACCGCAUAAGCCUAAAUACUACUUGGCAACCGAUAGUGAACUAGUACCGCGAGGGAAAGGCGAAAAGAACCGCUGUUAGCGGAGUGAAAUAGAACCUGAAACCAUAUGCUUACAAUGUGUUGGAGCCACGCAAGUGGUGACAGCUUGCCUUUUGCAUAAUGAGUCUGCGAGUUAUUGUCAGUGGCCAGCCUAAAUCUCUCUGAGAU
rnacentral:rRNA from 1 species